rnacentral:lncRNA from 1 species
GGAUUGGAUCAUCGUUUGAGUGGUGUUCAUGUCAUAUAAUAGAAUCAAAAAUUGGGGACAACCUCCCUAGACAACUCCCACAUGUGCCAAAGUUAUAUGUAAGUGCAUACAACUAAAUAUUUGCAUAUCUUGGAUGGAUCUUUUUAUCAUUCAUCUCACACAGGAUACUAUACCUAAACAUGGAUUUUCUAUAAUUUUUUGUAUACUGAAAAUAUUUAUGAUAAAUUCUAGAUAUAUCAGAAUAAAUUGUGAUGAAUUAUUUUUGUUUUUCAUCAAGGCAUGUUACUGGAAAUUAAUUUUAUGCUCCCUGAAUAAUUUGGCAUUGUGUUGUCUCUUUAUUUAUGUUUGUAUUUAUAAACUCAAUUUGAACAUAAAUCUAAAUAAUUUUUGAGAAAUAAUUGUGUAUAUGCUGAAAUUUUAUUAUUUUUUAAUUAGUAAAGCAUAUAACUAUACAAAGUGCCAUGUUUUUUGUGCCAAUUUACUUAUUAAUUAUUAGUUAAUUCAUUGAGGGCAUCAAAUUAUAUUUGUCCUAGUUGGAUAAUCCUGUGAGCUAGUAUAGACGAUAUUGACAAAGUGAGGGAAUAAUUCUUUGUACACCGCCCGCGGUGAUUCACCCACACACAGGUUUGAAAGAAAAAAAAUUAUUUUUUUAGAUGCCAUAUCUUGAGCCCGUGUAUGAGCAAACCAUCCAGAGUGGUGCAUGUGGAGCUGCAUGCAUAAAAAAUUAUUCUUUAUGAGAUUGUUCGAUAAAGAUUCUGAGAUAGUUCUCUUUGGGUUACAAUCAUUUCAUCAAAUGGGUUAUUGUGUGCAUUAAUUUCGGAGGGAUGUGAGUGAUCAAUGAGGUUUUUUUUACUGAUUCUGAAGGGAUUUAUCUACCGAAAGGGAAUGAGUCUUUAAAAAGUCAUUCUCAUUGUUUCAUUUGAGUGGGAGGCUCAUAUUAAAUGUCAUGGAGUCUGCCCAAAGGAGCACAUAUAGUGAUAUUCUAUGACUUCUACAAGGAUGUUGAUAUAAUACUGUUAUAAGUUAUGAUUUUACUAUCUUUUCCAUUAAAUUGUGUUUAUUUUUAGUUAGCAACAUUCCUAUGAAUAAUCAAAUAUUCUCUAUUGAGACUCUGGGAACAAUUUUGUGAGAUGAAAAGUGAUGUCGAGCCAGGACCUAGAUAUAGACUUGUGCGAGGGUGAUUUCCCUAAGCCUGAUGAUAAAAGUAUUGUAGGGUAGAAAUCUUAAUAUCAGAAGCGGGAGAGGCUAAUAGGUUGAUGAUAUAAAUUACGAAAAAAAAAAUCUAUAUUUGGAUUCUUCGAGAAGCAUGCCAACUGAGACCAAUACUAAAAAAAUUCUUGAUACCACUGGACAGUGAUCCAAAAAUCUGAAAAGGCCAAAACUGGGGA